AUGACGGUCGCGGCAAGGUGUUGAUUUCAUGAAAUUGGUAUAGUAAUUCGAUUUGUUAUUUAAUGACUCUAAUUGUUAAAGCACUGAACUUGAUUUGAUCUGCGAAGGUUUGAUUGAAGUUUGAUCUAUGAGAGGUUGAAUUUGACUUUGAGGGUUAAGGAAACACUGAGUCUUGUCGGCAAAAACUUUAAGAUUCAAAAUCACCAAUGCUCUAAUUAGUUAUUCCGGGCAACGCUCACUCCCUGAGAUUUGACGAACGAAUGCCCUAAUUUUAUUGAUAAUUGAAAGAAGAGUUGAAGUGUUAGAAGGGUUAAGGAAACACUGAGUCUUGUCGGCAAAAACUUUAAGAUUAUAAAAUCACCAAUGCUCUAAUUAGUUAUUCCGGGCAACGCUCACUCCCUGAGAUUUGACGAACGAAUGCCCUAAUUUUAUUGAUAAUUGAAAGAAGAGUUGAAGUGUUAGAAGGGUUAAGGAAACACUGAGUCUUGUCGGCAAAAACUUUAAGAUUAUAAAAUCACCAAUGCUCUAAUUAGUUAUUCCGGGCAACGCUCACUCCCUGAGAUUUGACGAACGAAUGCCCUGAGCAAUGCGUCGGAGGUCCAGAGGUACCGGGAUUCAAAAUUGCUUACUCUCCACUCCUAUGUUUACUCCGCGCGGUUGCAAUGGUUUUGGGUCCAGGGGUCUCAACCAAUCAGGGCGCUAAGCAAGCUUAAGCUAAUUACUCAUAGGGCAGACCUGUCGUCGCGGGUCCCAGCUCUUCCGCCAGCGGCUCCGCGGUCACCGGGUAUAGUCGAUUCAUGCUAGUUCUUCGACUCUUUUUUCCCAGGUUACUCCUUCAAGAUCUAAAUACCCAUACGCACAUUUCAACGUCCAUACAUCUCAUAUACCCAAUAGGUCUCUGUCCCUUAGUCUCACGGGUCCUCUUACAUAUUUUGGGGAAUUUUGGGAUCAUCGCAUCGAUGAAGUUAAGUCGAACCUAGUCUAUUCUUUUUGACGAUCUCCUACUCAGCAAAGCUCUUGCUUUCUGGGAACCAUCGCUAUACGUGACUUUGUAGCGCGUUUAUCGUCAACAGCACUUGAGAUCGGAAGUGCGGCCUCAGAUUACCCUAGCACCCAGACACAUAUACUUGACCACAUCGAUACGAUUCCUCCGCUACUCCCAAACCUAACAUCCCUCGCCUGUUAUAUUCUAAACACUUUAUGACCACAUUGGGUAUUUUUCCGAUUUGUUUAUGCCCGGGCAAUUAGGCGCGACGGUGUUGAUUCUAAGUUGGUAUGAGGUAAGACCCGCAUAUGAAAUAAUAUAAAAUAAUUAAUUUGAAAUAAGAAAAUAAUUAAUAUGAAAUAAGAGAAGAAGAAUUGUUAAGGUUAGCGCAAGCUGGUCCGUAACAUCGAUAACCAAUCAAAGUUAAUCAAAAUGUACUACAGUCAUUGGGUAAAAAUUUGGUUGUAAUACCAUAGUAAUAAAAAAAAAAAAAGAAUGAAAAAAUUAAAGUUUGUUCGAAAUAAAUUCAUUCUACAACAAAUUGCGAUGAAGCAAGUUCGUGUAACCUGCACACAUCAGUAACAGCUGAAAAAAUGGAAAAUAUUAAACAGACGCUAACGAUCGAAGACGACGGAUGGGAUUUCAUGCUAUGCGAGCGCGCGAAACUCGUGGAAAAGAGAGAGGAAGAAAUAGAAACGGAGGUGCGAGUGAAGGUGAAGAAAGAAAUAGAGGAAAAAGGAAAGAAAAAGAAUAAGAAGAGAAGAAAGAAUAAAAAAUAUAAGAAAUGAAGGAAAAAGGAAAGUAGAAAAAUAUAAAAAGAAGAAAGAAUAAGAAAUAAAAAAAAAUAAUGUUCAAUUAUAAAUUAUCAAAAAAGAUAACUAAAUGAAAAAAAAAUUAGAAUAUAAUCCAAAUAAUUAGGAUUAAAUUCAUAACGGUCAUGUGCUGCAUUGUUCACAAUUUUAUAAAUAACAUCUGAAAGAUCUGUACUAUUCCAAAUUUGCUUUUUGAUUGAUCGAUCUAAACUAUGUGAACAUCAAAUGUUGCUUCAAAUUUCGAGACUGACAGAGCAAACAUAGGUUUGCUCUUGUAUAAGAAAUCUUCUUCAAAAAGAAAUAGAAUUCAUUACGACGAAGCGAGCGCGAAGCGCGAGCCUCAGAAGCGCGAAACGCCGAGCGGGUUCGCGCGCGAAGCGCGCAGGGGCGAAGCCCCUAGUGUUGAAUAGAAAUGUAAUGAGUGAAAAAUAAGGGUUCCAAUUUUUUUGAAUUCACUAUACUUCAAGCUCCGUUCACUUUUAUCGUUUGUUAUAUUCACAUAUCAUUGACAUGCUAUUCGUCUAGGUGUCGAAAUCGAUCGGAUCACUCGAUGUAUAAAUUUCCUACUUGUGUAACAUGGAUUUUUUCACUCGUUGUUGGUGAAAAUUAAUUGACAAAUUUUCACGAUUCAUAAAUCUCGCCAAUGUUCGGUGAAAUUCAUUCGCUUAGAAUAAAAUGAUGGAAUCACCCAA